AAGCACGUGAACGCAAGUAAAUCUGGGAAAGAGGACAGCUUUUACACUUUAAAGGAUGACCUGUCACAAGCUGUAUAAUGCGAGUUUUGCUGCCUGCGAAGUGCUGCCCAAAAGAAAGGUAUUUCGGGGACGGUAUACUUUGCUUUUUGACGAAUUGUAGCAACGCAUGCCGGCUGCGCGGUUGAAAGUGAUCGCGAAAGGCAGCUUCACGGCAGCCACACGGCAGCUUCAAUAUGCACACAGUGGGGCUUUAAGUACUCUGGUUGUAGUUCUUCCGCUUGUAAUUGCGCUGUCCGCUAGGGCGACAGAAACACCUACAGCAAGUUUGACAUUGCGACGUGGUAGUGAGCCAAGUAAUGGCCCCCGGAGCAAUGGGGAGUUUCCGGGUGGCCGCCUUCCUAAACCUACAUUGACCGGUGGUGAGUUGGGGCCAGUUGGCAGCUUGCCAAGUUCUACUAAGAAUGUCUGUGCAGCAUUCCAAAAAUACACAAGCUGCCAUGGCAACAAAAAAAGGCAUUGCGGUGACAGAAGCUGCAAGACUCGGUUCAACCUACGGCGAAAGUGUAGCAAGAAAUGUGUACCUGGGUGCUACUGCCGUAGCGGGCUUUACCGGAACACUGACGGCAGCUGUGUUAGUUUCUUUAAAUGUGGAAGCUGGAUGAAGUCAUUGCAGGAAAAGUUGCAAACAAUAAUCAAGGGUCGGGCUGAGUAGCCCUCGCAAAGGAAUUUGUGCCUCGAACUUCAUAACCGCACCAUGAUUAUUUGUGGCAACGCGAAAUAGCAACAAGAGCUGCUUUUAUAAAUAAAAAUGCUUAUUUAACACGUCAA